GAUGAACGCUGGCGGCGUGCCUAAUACAUGCAAGUCGAGCGAACAGACGAGGAGCUUGCUCCUCUGACGUUAGCGGUGGACGGGUGAGUAACACGUGGAUAACCUACCUAUAAGACUGGGAUAACUUCGGGAAACCGGAGCUAAUACCGGAUAACAUGUUGAACCGCAUGGUUCAACAGUGAAAGACGGUCUUGCUGUCACUUAUAGAUGGAUCCGCGCCGCAUUAGCUAGUUGGUAAGGUAACGGCUUACCAAGGCAACGAUGCGUAGCCGGGCUGAGAGGUGGAUGGGACACACUGGAACUGAGAAACGGUCCAGACUCCUACGGGAGGCAGCAGUAGGGAAUCUGCCGCAAUGGGCGAAAGCCUGACGGAGAAACGCCGCGUGAGUGAAGAAGGUCUUCGGAUCGUAAACCUCUGUUAUUAGGGAAGAACAAAUGUGUAAGUAACUAUGCACGUCUUGACGGUACCUAAUCAGAAAGCCACGGCUAACUACGUGCCAGCCGCCGCCGUAA
rnacentral:rRNA from 1 species